rnacentral:tRNA from 1 species
ACCUGGAUGGCUCAGUCAGUAGAAUAUGUGACUCUUGAUCUCAGGGUGUGAGUUCGAGUCCCACACUGGGUG